UAUACGACCGUACCGCAAACCGACACUGGUGCGCGAGAUGAGUAUUCUAAGGCGCUUGAGAGAACUCAGGAGAAGGAACUCGGCAAAUUGACACCGUAACUUCGGAAGAAGGUGUGCCCUAUUAGUGUGUAGUGAACAACGAAGCAUGAAUGGGUUGCAAAAAAUCGGUGGCUGCGACUGUUUAUUAAAAACACAGCACUCUGCAAACACGAAAGUGGACGUAUAGGGUGUGACGCCUGCCCGGUGCUGGAAGAUUAAAUGAUGGGGUGCAAGCUCUUGAUUGAAGUCCCAGUAAACGGCGGCCGUAACGAUAACGGUCCUAAGGUAGCGAAAUUCCUUGUCGGGUAAGUUCCGACCUGCACGAAUGGCGUAACGAUGGCCACACUGUCUCCUCCUGAGACUCAGCGAAGUUGAAAUGUUUGUGAUGAUGCAAUCUCCCCGCGGAAAGACGGAAAGACCCCAUGAACCUUUACUGUAGCUUUGUAUUGGACUUUGAACAGAUCUGUGUAGGAUAGGUGGGAGGCUUUGAAGCAGGGUCGCUAGAUCUUGUGGAGCCAACGUUGAAAUACCACCCUGGUGUGUUUGAGGUUCUAACCUAGGUCCAUUAUCUGGAUCGGGGACAGUGCAUGGUAGGCAGUUUGACUGGGGCGGUCUCCUCCCAAAGCGUAACGGAGGAGUUCGAAGGUACGCUAGUUACGGUCGGACAUCGUGACGAUAGUGCAAUGGCAUAAGCGUGCUUAACUGCGAGACUGACAAGUCGAGCAGAUGCGAAAGCAGGACAUAGUGAUCCGGUGGUUCUGUAUGGAAGGGCCAUCGCUCAACGGAUAAAAGGUACUCUGGGGAUAACAGGCUGAUACCGCCCAAGAGUUCAUAUCGACGGCGGUGUUUGGCACCUCGAUGUCGGCUCAUCUCAUCCUGGGGCUGUAGCCGGUCCCAAGGGUAUGGCUGUUCGCCAUUUAAAGAGGUACGUGAGCUGGGUUUUAAAACGUCGUGAGACAGUUUGGUCCCUAUCUUCCGCGGGCGCUGCAGAUUUGAGGAAGCCUGCUCCUAGUACGAGAGGACCGGAGUGGACACACCUCUGGUGUAUCGGUUGUCACGCCAGUGGCAUUGCCGAGUAGCUAAGUGUGGAAGAGAUAACCGCUGAAAGCAUCUAAGCGGGAAACUCGUUUCAAGAUGAGAUCUGCCGGGGCCUUGAGCCCCCUAGAGAGUCGUUCAAGACCAGGACGUUGAUAGGUCAGGUGUGGAAGC
rnacentral:rRNA from 1 species